AAGAGGAAAGUAAAACACACCCUGCUUAUACAGAGAGUCUUUAGUAGCUGAGAGAAGAUUUUGAAAGCGUGUUUGAAAAUGGCCUUGGAGUGUUGAUGCCAAUAUGAGGUGUCUACGGGUUCGCCCGUUAUAGCGAUACAGUAUUAACAUUGAUGUUAAAUGGCGUACUGGAUUCUUUACGCACGAUUUUUUGUUAAUAAGUAUGGGAUAGCACAUUACUGUAUCCUUACUUAACGACUUAAAUUGUGAUAAUUGUUCAG
rnacentral:misc_RNA from 1 species